rnacentral:rRNA from 1 species
UCCAGACUCCUACGGGAGGCAGCAGUGGGGAAUAUUGCACAAUGGGGGAAACCCUGAUGCAGCAACGCCGCGUGAGUGAGGAAGUAUUUCGGUAUGUAAAGCUCUAUCAGCAGGGAAUAGAAAAGAAGGUACCUGAAAAAGAAGCCCCGGCUAACUACGUGCCAGCAGCCGCGGUAAUACGUAGGGGGCAAGCGUUGUUCGGAAUGACUGGGCGUAAAGGGUGUGUAGGCGGUGUAGCAAGUUAGAAGUGAAAUACCCAGAGCUUAACUCGGGUGCUGCUUCUAAGACUGUUGAGCUUGAGUGCGGGAGAGGUUAAUGGAAUUCCUAGUGUAGCGGUGGAAUGCGUAGAUAUUAGGAGGAACACCAGAGGCGAAGGCGAUUAACUGGACCGUAACUGACGCUGAGGCACGAAAGUGUGGGUAGCAAACAGGAUUAGAUACCCGAGUAC